CCGAGUUUACAACUCCCAAACCCCUGUGAACAUACCUACUUGUUGCCUCGGCGGAUCAGCCCGCGCCCGGUAAAACGGGACGGCCCGCCAGAGGACCCCUAAACUCUGUUUCUAUAGUGGAACCUCUGAGUAAAACCAGAAAUAAAUCA
rnacentral:misc_RNA from 1 species